UACGUAGGUGGCAAGCGUUGUUCGGAAUUACUGGGCGUAAAGAGUUCGUAGGCGGUUUGUUGAGUCUGCUGUUAAAUACAGAAGCUUAACUUCUGAACUGUAUCGGAAACUGUCAGACUAGAGGACAGUAGGGGAAGUCGGAAUUCUCAGUGUAGCGGUGAAAUGCGUAGAUAUUGGGAAGAACACCAGUGGCGAAAGCGGACUUCUGGGUUGUUACUGACGCUGAGGUACGAAAGCGUGGGGAGCAAACGGG
rnacentral:rRNA from 1 species